UAGAAAGAAAGAGAAAGAAACAACUUCAGUCUAGCAGAAUUUAUUUUAGAUAAAUACUUUUAUUAUUUCUCAGUAUAGUUAGAAAAGGCAUAGUUUGACUGGUUCAUGCCUAUAAAAGAAUUUUUACACAGAAUCAUACACACCAAAGGUACUCUUUCUAGAUACAGGCAAUAAUAAAUACUGUUUCGCUGAAUUAAAACUGAAAAUAUCAAAUGCAUUUGGUUGUAGGCUUAUAUUAUCAAAUGCAUUUGGCUGUGUGCUUAUAUUAUGAAUGCAUGAAGCUUGGAAGGGACAUUUUGCUUCAAGAUAGGAUCAAACAAAGCACCUUCCAAAACUACUUUGUAGAGUGAUGUAGCCCUUGCUUAUAACAACUGAGAAAAGGGAUUGCCUGCUUCAAUUUGACUUAAUCCUAAAGUUUUUCAGGCAAUGGUAUAGAAGAUAGCUUCAUAAUGUACUAUAUGUAUUAUAAACAUAUCUUUGGUGUCUGAGUGCAUACAAAGAUGUCUUGGUAAAAAAAACAUUGUUAUUUCUACCUAAUGUCCCUAGAGAGGGUGGGGUGUCACACUGCAUCAAAAUAAAUGCCCUUCUGAUAGAGUGCUGAAAGUUGAUCCAGGGUAGUGUAGAUAUAGGUAUUAAAAGUUUUGCCAUUUCAAAUAUGGAAGAAGAAAUAACUUUCUGGAACAGCAGAGAAGUAACAAUCAUUGACAUGUUAUCAUGUCAGAUAAUUACCAUAUAAUCUUGCUAUUCGCUGUGAAGAUUUUAAUGCAGCUCAGAUCUAAACAAUGAUCAUUUUUCUUUAACAGGUUCUUUUGCCUUUCUCUUUAGGGUAUGUAGCCAUCCUCAGUAAGCUCAAACUGAAUCCUCAUCUAAUAAGUAUUUUCAAUUAACAUGAUAAAAUAAAUUACUGAGCACUGUCACCUAUUCUUAAAUAAUUCCAAAUUCCUCAGUUAAAACUCUACAUUGGGAAUCAUCCAUAUCUAUCCCACAAAUAGAUAUUGUGGGAAUAUCUAAAGUCUAAUCCCAAUCCUGCUCAGAAACAGUGUAAUAAAUCUUUCCAACCCUGGUUUGCUAAACUGUAAUUUUAUUGCAUUUUGAGUACAAAUUGCAUUCUGAGCAAAGACUGAGUGAAUACAGCUGCAAAUUAGCACAAUGAUCAGCACUCCCAAAAAUCUGCUUAUAGAGAAAUAAAACAAACAGCUGCCCCUUUUACUAUGAAACCAAGGCAAUUUCUUUAAUAUUAGAGUUUCAUGGUAUAUAAGUAAUAUAAUAGUAUUAUAAUGUAUAAAAUUAUAAUAUAAAAUACAAUAUAAAAUUAUUUUACUUAUAUGUAAUAGCAAUAUAAGUAAAGUUUAUAUUUAAGUCCCUCCAAUCAGUUCAUCUGUUUAUCUCAUUUCUAUAGUCAUGUCCUAGCCUACUAAUUUUUUAACAUAUUAUAUGUGGAAUGGCUAAUGUUCUUCGUAGUUAUAAGAACAUUCCUAUUAAUAUGUCCAAGUAUCUUCAUGUAAAAAAAAUAUAUUAACAAACUUCUACUAUAUUUUCUAAGAUACCUUCUUAUGAUUAAACUAAUGCCCUGUAAUGGUCCUCUUCUUGGUCACAGCCCCUCUCCUCUUCAUUUAACAAAGCAGUUUUACCAUAUUUACAAAAUUUGCUCAUAUCCAAACAUGGACCACAAUCACUGCUACAAAGAUGUCUUAGGAAGUUUGUGCAUUUUUAUCAAAAUAACUGAAAUACAAAACUAUGUUUUUCAUGAUUUGGUAUCUUUUGAAGAACUGGAAUAGCAAAACGAAAUGAACAGCCUGAAACAAUGUUAAAUUUAAAAAAACUAAAUACUUUAAAUUAAAUUUUAAAAGUUCUCAUUAUGGUUAACAAUGCAUGUAAACUUCUCACCACAAUGAAAUGAGUAGAAUGCAUUCAAGGGCAGAAAUAUUUUAAGACAAUUGUAAUUAUUACACUAGCCCUUAAAUCAAAACAAGAACCUUAAUCUAUAUCUGGAAUACUUUUAUCAUUAUUUAUUAAAUGUAUAUACCACCCAUCUCCUCAAUAAGGUGACUCUGAGUGGCUUUUUAAAAAUUUAAAUCUAUGCAAAUUAAAUGUUUAAAACUAUGUAAAAAAAACCAGAUACCAAGAGAUGAACACUACAAGGAUGAGGUCAAGCCAACCAAUAAAACCUAAUUUUACCCUCCCAGAAGGCCAAAAAGGUGGUAGCGGUUUUCAGUUCCCAUGGUAAAGUGGAAAAGGCUCUUCUCCUUGACCCCACCUGCUGAAAUUCCUUAACAGACAUUACACUUCUGCUGGUGCAAGUGGGGCACAUCAGUCCCAUAGGAGGUUAUAUCAUUUAUUGUCAAGUUCACUAAUUUUGUGAUUUGCUAGAACAAAAUGUUUGCAUAAGCAGGGCUUCUCACUGGAGCAAAGGGACUUUCCAUGGCAAGCUUCAUAUUGCUGAGACAACAGGAAGAUACUGCAGCUGCUCUAUAGAAUCUGGGAUUUCCUGAUGCAGAUACCUGCUGAAUUCCUUCAAGUUUGUAUAGAUCCAGAGGUCUGUGUGUGUAUGUGGAAGGAAUGGGAUUUACUGGUGUAUGGCAAUGUAUAUUAGUUACAGCCUAAUAAGGGCAUAGACAUUUUGUCUCCCAGUAGGAUGCAUGGUAUGCAAGUUUUCUUCCUUUGAUGUUGACUUUAAUAAACAAUUAAAUUUAACCCUUUUUAACAUAGAUCUCAGCCGGAUUCUAAUAUGCUUCUAACCAGUCAAGCAGGAUGUCGAGUUCUCCAAGGGACUUCAUUGCAGCUGAUGCAACAUCCAUCUGAAAAUUGAUUAAAAUGAACAUUUGGUAACAGAAAAAGCAACUUGGGAUGGGAUAUGAAUGCCAUACUCAGCAGUUUGAAAGUGGGCAACUUGCUGAGGAAGGAGUUGGCUAUACCACUGACUUUCCGAUUGAUUAGAAGGCUUUCUGUUUCACAGUGCCUGAAGACUUUGUCCAGAUAAAAUCUUAAGAUGAGGUGACCAUUUAAAUACAACUUGGCAGCCAACAAAGGAAAGCUUUGGAAUGUUUCUUCAAGUACUACAAUAGGCUAGAACUUGCCAUGUGUGGCAAUUCUCCUCUACAGACAGUACAUUCCCUACCCAACAUUUUCAUGGAAAAGUAAUUCAAUUGUUACCAGAGUAGAAAAAGGCUGAGCAAACUGCAGCAUGGUGAUUCUGCUCUCUAGUUAUUGAUAAAUGCUAUUAUUUUAGGUAGUAUGGUCAAUGUAUAAUAUGGUUUUUAUAUAUAGAUACAUGCACAAUCAUGCUUUGACACAUAUGUUAUAUCACUCUUCUUCCAUAUCACUUGUGACAGUAAUUUUGUGAGAUUAAGCUAGCAGGCAAUGAUCACAGGGCUAAGCAAACAUCUAAACCUUAGGCAUCCCUGUUUUAAAUCUAUUCCUAGAAUUAUCCACUAGUUGGAUUGUAUUUUGCAGCACAAUAGCCAAUGAAAUAAAUAAUAAAAUAAACAAUGGCAUACAUAAUAUACAAUUGGAAUAUGAUCAUCUAUGUAGGUCUCAGCACAAAAAGAUACUUCAUAAGCACUGACAUUUACUUAAUUCAAAAAUCUGCUGAUUUAAUUGAAAGUAAUAUCUUACUAUAAAGAAAAAUGCAACCCAAACUUACAAAGAUUAGGACUUACUUGAAAAUCAUGCAAAGAAUAUGGCUGCAACAAAAUACUUGUGGUUCUGAUGGGAUCUCUGCCUUGCUAAAUAGGAAACAGAUAACAUUAAUUCUGAAUAUAUAAUAUUAGCUGCUGAAAUCAUUACAGAUAAAUAGGCAGCAUUUACAAAAUUACCAUGGUAUCUGGAGAAUAAAACCAUUUUAAUUACAUUGGUAAACUACAAAUUUUGGAAAAAAUUAAGUUUCUUAAAGUUUGCAUGUUUGAAUUUGUUGCCAAAAGAGAACUGAAACAAAAUAUACCUCUUGUAUUGGAUACAAGCAAACAUGCACCCAACACAAAGACAUUCAAGUGAAUUUGGAUCCAAUGUCCUUUUCUUUGCAUCUGCAUAUCUAAAAGAGGAUUUCUAUCUUAUGUAAGGGGAUGUGAUGGCUCAGUGAGUAAGACACUGGGCUUGUCGACUGGAAAGCUGACAGCCCAGAUUCAUGACCUGAGCACCGCACAACGGGGUGACUUCCCAUUACUUGCCUCAACUACUGCCCACCUAGCAGUUCAAAAGCAAGCAAAUAUGAGUAGAUAAACAGGUACCACUUCAUGGGAAGGUAACAGCAUUCACUGCACCUCGACAUAUAGUCAUGCUGGCCUCAUGGUCAUAGAAAUGUCUUUGCACAGGAUUGUCACCCUUGGCUAAGAAGCGGAAAGGAGCACCGUUCCCUAGUGUCGGACACGACUGGACAUGGGAAAUCUUUACUUUUAUCCUAUGUAAAUGGUUUAAUGAGACUUCUAUUUAUUUUUUACCUUGAGAGAUUCACCUAUUUAAAGCUAUUUGUCCAAUUGCAUGCAUCUUUUAAGAAAUACUUUCAUAAUCCUGCCUACAAGAAAUUGCUAUUGUUGUUCUUACUGUUUUUAUUCAAAGAAGGCUACUGAACACAAACAAGUCUUGCAAGAAACUUUUUGUAAGUUUCUAAGCUUCUUUUCCACUUGUUUUCCAGAAAGUGUUCUGGAAGCAGACAACAAUACUUACAAUAAAGGUUUUGACAAUAGCAAAGCUAUUACGAAUUUCAUUAAUAUUCAUUGAAAUACUGCAAGGUCCAAACUGGAAAAUCUUGUCCCCAGUCACUGAUGCCAAAUAUAAGGACCAUUUGGUGAACAAA